UCGGCCCCACUUAAUUACAAGUGGCAAACAUUUAGGAAGGGGCUACUUAUCUGAACUUAUCUGCGCAAUAGAUAAGCUGAUGAAAGUCACCUCGGUCUCCAACAUGGGCUUUUGCAUCCCUUUUUAGUUCCUAAAAGCAAAAUUAACUUCAAGAUUGAGUGCAGGUAAUACCAAUGUAUUUUUAUUGAUUUACUUAUUAUUGUAUUUCACUUUUAUUUAUUCAUAUAUGGCUAGCUGUGUUAAUUUUCUUAAUUAGGUCCUAAAAAAAUGAGAUUGAAAGUAUAUUGUUAGAAUUAGACAGAUUUACAAAAUAUAAUGACUUAAUCUUUUUUAUUGAUUCUUUCUAACUCCUUGUUAGUUUUUAUUUUAUCAACCUUGCUGUCCAAAAAAAUAGAAAAAUAUUAUAUCCACAUAUACCAAUUAUUUAUUGAGUAAAAUUUAUAGGGUGAAUUCGGCUUUUAUUCUUCUUUUGAGAACCAUCUUGAAGAUGUGAUUAAAUUCUUUAACAUAGUUUUUGGUGGAGAAACUAAAUAUAGAUUUAAUAUGCCUAGAAAAACUUAUGAUAUGUAGCUAAUUUAUCUAUUCUAAUAAAAAUAAUUUUUUGGACACAUAUUAUUAUUUUGGAGCUUCUCAACAUAUUUUCCCGUCCAUUUCUAUUACAUAAAAAAUGACAUUUAUACAUUUUCUUCUUAUUUGAAUUCGAAAAUGUUACUUCAAUUUUAUUAAUUUAGGCAUUGAAUUAGCAUAGCACAUAAACCAAAAAAAAAAUACAUAUAUCCCCAAAAUACCAUUUUUUUUCUUAUUUAUUCAUUCGUCAUUAUCAUUAUAAUCAUAGAUCCCGUUAUAUCAACACAUAAUUAAUUUUAUUCGUUAAAUAUAUUACCAUGAUAUGUUAAUUUUGGGAUAAAUCUUCAUCAAAAAUUUCCAUCAAUUUCACCUCUUAGUUAUUAUAUAACCCUAAGCCCAAAAAGUUUCUUAGCGAUGGAUUGUUAUCAUUUUAUUUCCAUCUUUUUAAAUCAUGGACAAUUUCUAUUUAAUUUUCUAAAAAAUAAACUAUUUAUGUUUAUUAAUGAAAAAAAUCAACUAUUAAUGUACUUUCAUUUCAUUUUCUGUAAUAAAAAGAAUCAUCUGGUCAUUUAUUUCAUAAGGGACAAUUUGUGGGUUUUAUAGUGUUUUGCAUAUAAUUCACAACCUUUUCAUUUUUUGGACAAAACAUAUCUAUAUACUAUAUGUUUUUUGGUCAUUUAUAGCAUUAAGAGUAAUGAAAGUUGGUUGAAAAUAGCAAUGCACAUUUAGUUUUUUUUUUUUUUUUUUCCUAUUUUAAAAGGAAUGAAUCUAUGUUGCUCAAACUAUAGAAGUAUAAGAUAAAUGUACUAUAUGAAUAAUUAAAACAGUAAAAGUUAAAAAGAAUAAAAAAUUUAUCUUAACAAUCUAAAAUCCAUCUAAGAUUGAUUAUUCUAGCUUCAAGUAACUGAUAAUACCACCAUUAUGUUUCAACGUCAAUAAAAUAACUCAAUUUUGAAAAUCAUAUAGCAUGUUACAAAAAGCAUCUAAUGUUGUAUACAAAUAGAUACUUAUAAAAUUAUGAUUAAUGAUUAAGUUUUUUAAAAUUUUUAUUUUAUUUAAAUUUAUUAAUCGUACCGUACACAUGUUAUAACCUAGUUAACAUAAAACAAGAAAAAUGAAUUUUCAACAAAAUAUUAAUGUAACAGUUAACAACAUGUAUGGAAAAUCAUAUUGCCAAUAUUCAUUGGAUAACAAACGUAUUUGAUAAUUAAUGGGGUAUAGCCAAGGUUAAAGCUGCGAAUAUACCCUCACUCUACUGAACUAGAUAUAUAUCGAACUAGGUAAUACCGUACCAGGCAUAUAUCGGACUAGGAAUAUACCAGACCAGGUAGGUAUAUACCGAACCAUACGCAUGUCAAACUAUAUACAAGUAUCGGACCACAUAAAAUAAUAACUAAUAUACAAAUUAAUGCCACAACAGUGUUAUAGUACAUUAGGAUUCUAAGAAAACAACAUAUAUUAUGAUACCUGACUGAUAGAUCCAUCAACAAGAAACAGUUGUCAAACGACUAACAAGUACAUAUAAGUGUAGCUUUGGGCAUACAACCAUUAAUGCGACAAGAUAACAAACUUGCUUGGUAUAAGAAGAGGUCAUAGCCUCCCAAAUGUCGACUAUAAAUAAGUGAUGAAAAUCAAUUUACAAGGUAUGAAAAUACUUACAUUGUUUUAUUAACCUUUACUCGACUCUCAGCAUACUCUUAGAGUUUUUUCUUAACUUUAUCAUUGGAGCGUUGGUCCGAGAGCCCUUCCCGUCCAAUCAGCUUACGAGUUGUUUGUUGUCUCCGGGUUAACUUAGCAAUGAAGAAGUCGAUAAUUCUCAUAAACAAUGGAAGGUGAACCGGGAGGCAUAUCAAGUGGCCCCAUCUGUCGAUAAUUCUCAUAAACAAUGGAAGGUAAACCGGGAGGCGCAUCAAGUGGCGCCAUUUGUGAGACUUUGCAACAAAUAGCCAACGAAGAAAACCCAGUUGUUUAUGCGAUUCCUAUCACAAGAAUGCAAAACCUUAAAGGAAACCUCGAAGAAAUGCCACAAAUUGCAACCGAAAUUAAAAAAAAAAAAAAAAAAAACAAGAAUGUGACACCAGAAGGCCCAAGAUAAGAAAAAAGGAUAAAUGAGUCAAAAGAUGUUAGAGGCAGAAGACAUGGAAAUGGAGGUGUUCAAAGCCUUCAAGAAUAUUAGAGCUACGAGGAAGCGGCAAAUAGAAAAAAAUAAGUGAAUGGCUCAAAAAAGAAGGAAUGGGAUUUGGUUUCUUAUAUUGAUAUAUUUAUACAUAUAUUUACGCAUUAUUCAAUACAUUUUAAGCUAUAUUCUAGUUAUUUGCAGAGAUAUUUUGUACUUAUUGAGAUAAAUUGCAUUUUGCAACAAAAUAGGACAUUCUUGAAGAAAAAGGACCAAAACCAACAAAAGCUAGAACCUAGAAGGACUGGAGCUGAAGCUGGGAGCUUAACGAAACUUAAAAGGAAGAAAAACCAAGAAAAUACAUGUCCCACGAUGUGGCUUCAGAGUCCCACGAUGUGGUGAUUAGAAAAUUCUCGACGGUAUACAUAAUACUAAGCUCACAACGUGAGCCUUAUAAUCUUAUGUCGUAAGGAGGUACCCUUCCAAAAGAUAACUAUGUGAAAUGCAGUUUCCUUGCCAGACACGAUUUGUACUGAUCUCACAACAUGAGACCCUAAUUCUCAUGACGCGAGACAUGAAUUUAGGAAAUUAUAAAUAUCCCUUCACAAUUUUUUUAGAAGGUUGGAUUCUAGAGAGAAGAACGGAUUUAGAAGCCAGAGAAGAGUGAAAAACAACCCUUUGGAAGAGAGAAUGUGUUAGAGAUUGAACAUUUUAAGAUUACAAAUUACAUUCGGUUUGCAUUUGAUUAAACAUGUCUAAAUCUGAUGUUUUUGUGCGCUUAUUUUCUGCUAUGAGUGGCUAAUCAUUAGUCUUUCGUUUAGUGUAGAUGAAUCCUAAAAUUAUGUGUUAGUGUCUAGCUUAUAUUUGGAUUUUAUGAAGUUGGUUAAUGCAUGUAUUUGAUUAUCUUUACCUAGCAUGUUAAAAUUUGAAUCUAUGUUGCUUUAGUUCAAGUUAAUGAACAUUGAAUUACAUGAACUUGUUUACCUAGUAGUUUAUGAUCAUUAAAUUUCUAGAGGUAGGAUAAAUCACAUCUUAAGUUAAUUAAUAAAGGUAACAACUUUAGUUGUGUUAGAAAGCAUAAUUUGAUCAUAAUUGUGUUUAAUUAAUUCUCUAGAUCAUUAAAUUGCUAGAGCUAUGAUUAAUCACAUCUUAGAUCAAGU
rnacentral:lncRNA from 1 species